rnacentral:lncRNA from 1 species
AAAUUGAUGAAUUAUAACAGAUCUAGGUAGAAUUUAUCCACCCCCAUCCCUACCCCCUUUUUGGGUAGAUAACAGAAAUGUGCAAUUCACUGUACUAUGGAGACUGGAAGGUCUACUACAUUUAUUGCUGUGCCAGUUCUCCUUAUAAGUUGUUGUUGCUGCUUUUGUUUUAUUUAUUCUGUCUAUGGGUGUGUUUGUUUUCUGUUUGUUUUUCUGUCUUUCUAGGUAGCCUUAGCUGGCCUGAUACUUGCUAUGUAAUCCAAAUUGGCUUUGAACUCCUAGCAAUCCUCCUGAGUUAACUCUCCGUGUGCUGGGAUUACAGGCUCUGACAAAAUGCCUGGGAGAAACAACUUAAGAGAAAAGGGUCUAUUUUGGCUCAUGUCAAAGGAUCCCAACUACGAUGGUGAGGCAGAUAUUGUGGUAGAAGUGGCUGAGUUAAGUUCUUAGUCUGUGUUGAUGUGAGUACCAAGCAGAUGGUCACUUCAUGAGGAGAAAACAGGGAGCUAGACUGGAUCCAGCGGUAUGUAUGGGAAGCUGCUUCUGUUUGCAAGGCCACAUAUUCCUAGUUCACAGCCUCAUACAACAGUGCCACAAGCUGGUGAGUUUUCAAAUACGUGCACUCCCAGGAACAUAAUAUAUGGAAAUAAUCUUGCAUCUCCUCACUGGUAAUCUUUGUCCGGGUGAACUGGAAGGGUCCUUAGAGUAGGAGUGAGCUGGAUUGCUAAACAGAGUUCCAUUAUUCUCCUAUCAGAUCAAUAAAUUUUCACUUGUUCUGAGGUACUAUUUAUGGAUUAGUAAAAUACCCACAAUAACAUCUACAGACAGAAAGGUAUAGGCUCAGAAAUUAACAGCCUUGAGUUGCAGGUGGAAGGUGCAGAAGCCAAAUUAAAAACAGUCUUUUCAGGCUGAGCUCAGGAGCCUGAAUUUCCAUGCUGUAAGUGGCUGGGAUCCACUGGAGGAUUUUAAUUGUGUAAGUUGACAAGAUCAGAUUUGCUAUUCAGAAAGCACACCCUGGCACAGAUCGGUGGGUGGAAUAGAAAGUGGUUGCCCUGGAGACAGGCAGACCCAUUAGGAAGCUCUGACAAAGAUCCAGGAGAGAGAAAAUGAGGAUAGUGGUUGGAGGAAUGAGCAGAUUCAAAGACAUUUUAGAGGUGGAACGGAUGGUCGGGAGACGCUCAUUCAGUGUAAAUGCUGAAGGAAAGGAAGAACCAAGGAGCGCUGUGGUUUCCAGCUUGGAUUUCUAUAUGGAUAGUGAAUAAUUAAUGAAGAUGUGGCGGGCGGGCAUAAUGGGGACUUAAGAGGGAGGUAGUUGUAGAUGGACGUGAUCAAUAUACAUUUGUUUAAAUGUGUAUAACUUUCAAAGAGUAAGAGAAUUAUUAUUUUAAUAGAUCAAGGUAUAAAAUACAAAAAAAAGUCAAAUGGGGGGGGGGGUUUGCUAAUGAAUUCAUAUGUGACCUGUUGAAUUUGAUGUAUCUUUUGGACUUGUAGGUGAAGAAGUCACAUGUGGUGAAUAUAUUAUCAUCAGAAUGCGGAGCAAUGAAAUGUAAACAGAUAGGAAUCGUCACUAAAGCUCCAACUGCAGCCUCCGGGUGCCAUAGCUUUUGCACCAUCCAUUUGCACCAUCUCUGCAGUAAGUCCUAGCUCAAGCCUUACUCCAAAGUACAAAUUAGCAUAGCAGCUCAGUCAACAAUGCCUCCGAGCUUCUGGAAAGAAAGAUGCUCAGUCACCAUAGACCCAGAAUUAAUGAAAAGUCACAGAAAUAAUAGCUCCAUUCUCUACUUGCUUCUGAACCUCAAAUCAGUGGUUGGCAACAAGGAUGUCUGCAUCAUCUGUAUUGACCUGCUCCCCAGAUUAAUACCGAAGCACUGCAAUUUCUUGAGGAUUAUCCACCUAGGAGGAAAUGAUACGCUGGCCCAUCCAUAGUAGUCAAGGGAACCACCAUCUCAGAUGGUAGAAACCACUCAGAAGGAUCAACUGCUGCAGACGGGAAGAGGAGCAACCUCGUGAAUAAUUUCGUGACAGGAUAUUGCAGGAGGGACUUUGUCCAAAUGUGUGCAGGGUAGUUGGCUACAGCAACAAGGAUGACGAACACAGAUGAAUUGAUCAGGAUGUAACCAUUCAAAGUUGAGAGGAUUAGAGGACUUCUCCGAGGCGGCUCCAAUGGAUGCCAGCAGAGUUAAAGUGUCCAAUGGAGAGAAGAGAAGGCUUGGGAAAUCCAGAGUCCAUUCAUUCAUCGCCCUCCUCCUAGAACAACAAAAGCGAGCCCCAGUACUCAUCAGCAUGGACUCUGUGUGUAGUCAUCUCCCUUAGUUUCAGAGGUUCCUGCCUACAGCAAAACUUUAGAGGCUUAGAGUUUAACGGUCAUAGCUUAUUCACCUCCAACUGUGUCCUAGUUCAAGAGAAACACUUCACAUAUCUGUAGGGAGAAGAUAAUGAACCAAGGAUACAAGUUAAGCCUUAGCUAAGACCUGUUACUCAGGAAAAAGAGCUAAAACAAGCUGCUUAGAUCAGCACCAAUGUUAGGUAGAGAGAAAAAGAAACGCUGCAUAGAAAUCUUAAGGUUCACAUGUGCUCCAGGCUGGGUCAACAACUUCUAAUUUCCUUUGCCAACCAACCAUGUCUUUGACAGAAAUGAUCCUUCUACAUAGACCACAGAGGGAUCCAAUGGAGGUUUCUCUUCCUGAAUUUGGGGAUUCAGAAUCUGGACAAAUUCCUUUCCAUCAAAGUCCAGUACAAAAGUAGUACCAUGGCAGUCCCUGCAGGGACUUGCAUCACUUUCCCUAGAGAUAUCAAGAGAAUUUUUAGUGAUAAGAAUAUGGCACAAAAUGAGAAAUCCCAUUACUCUUAAGAGAAUCUCUUCCUUCUCAAAGGCACCUGAUUAAUACAUAUAGUACUAUCAGUAAGGCUGAGCAAAAGGAUACUGAUGUUCUGAGUGAUCUUAAAUCAUGUAAUAAUAACUUUAUUCGUAGUAUAGAACGGAAUAUUCCCUAUUAGUAAUCAGUUCCUUUGCCAGAUCCUCAUAGUAUCUUAGUCACUGUUUUAUUGUUAUGAAGAGAAACUUUGACCACAGCACCUCUUAGAAAAAAGGAAGCAUUUAAUCGGGACUUCCUUAUGGUUUCACAGUUUUACAUAAUUGUCAACAUGGCAGAGAACAUGGGGGCACGCAAACAGACAUGGUGCUGGAGAAGUAGCGGAGAAUAUACAGCAACAUAUAGAUACAAAAUAUAGAUACAUAUAGAUACAGAAUAUAGAUACAUAUAGCUACAUAUAGAUCUGCAGGCAGCAGGAAGAGACUGGGACAAGGCCAUACCUUCUAAGGCUUCUCAAGGAGUGUCACUUCCUGAUGACCAAGCAUUCAAGUGUAUGAGCUUAUGGGAGCCAUUCUUAUUCAAGCCACCACACAUAGCAAAGCUGAUAAUGUCAUUUUCUGAAUUAACCAGGCCAAGGCACACUUCUUAGCAACAUGGUUACCUGGUAACCAGAGAUUUUUCUCAUCCCAUGAGAGAUUUCAUUCAAGAACUGAUCUUCUAACAGUUUUGUCUCUCUUAAGAAUGCUACAGACAGGGUGGGGUGAGGCACAGUGCUGAAGCCCCUCAAGUUUCCCAGAGGGAUGAGUCCAUGAAAGACGAAAAUCAUGUGGUCACACUGAGCAUAGACUUCACAAGCAUCAUGCUAGGAUUCCAUUUUCUUUCUCAACACAAUGAUAAAUUCUUCUUCCAAUAAGCAGAAAAUCAUCCAAUGGGAAAAAAAAAUAAAACCAACUAACUUGCAGUCCUUUGGAACAGUUUCAUAGCUUACAGGAUGGCUUCAUAACCCUGGGGACACUCGUUUUGACAUGAAAACUUCCUUCAGAACAGGAAUUCUGAUCCAACAUGUGCUCAGACAUCAUUUCAGUCACUUGCAAAUGAACAAGAAAGCUCAUGUAAAUGAGGAGGCUCAACUCCCAGGCCUGGUGAGUGGGUAAGACAUUCCUCUGCUGGGUUUUGAAGGCUGUCUGAAACCAUCGGCUGACAUCCUUCUCUGUGUGCAUGUAUGCACUAUCUACGGGAAAUUCAGCUCCAACCGGUUGUCUCUACAGCUCCCUUAAUCUUCUCCUCCCUCCUCCUGGCAUUGGCAUGUGUCCCAGGACUGCAGCGAGGAGUGCUUACCAACAAAGGUGCUGGCAUCUGCAUUUGUUUCACAGCCACAAACCUAAUGGUUCCAUGAUUUUGGCGAGCAAAACUGUCAAAAUGCCUGAGCACAAGAGAUCACAAGAUGAGCCAAGGCAUAGUGUGCAUGCCUUCCUUCCCAGCACUCGGAAGGCAGAGGCAAGGGGAUCUCUGUGGGUUCAAGGCCAGCCUGAAUCACAAGGUGUACUGGGGAUUCUUUUUUAUUGUUUUCCUUUUGCUAUCUGGAAUAGUUUGAGAUUGUAUUUGAUCAGUGCAUUAAACAAC